GGACCUCAGGGAGACGGCGGCCAUCGUUACCCAGGGAGACGAACUACGAGCUCUAAAAGGCCGUCGGACACUGCGCCUACCUGGAGCCCUACGGCCUUUAGAAAUGAAGAUCCACAACAGACCAGCAGCUCAGCAACACAGGUAAAGACCUCUCUAAACGACAGAGUCCCUAUAGGUUCCGGUGUUAAGAGGGUCAGUCGAAGUCCGUCCACCUCAAACCUCAGAAGCACUGCGGCUAACUCCAGGCUAGGCAACUCCCUGGGCGACCUCUACGGCGGUGAGGUGGAGGAGGCCAGGCAGACCUACAGCCCUCUUCACCCCCCGUCCUCUCCUCGCUCCCCCGCGGCCACCCUCCUCCCCCGGGGCCCCCGAGUGCCGCCCAAGGACCCCGGUCAGUACUUUGGCGCCCCUGGGAGGCCCAGUGGGAAGAAGGCUCCGGGGCCGCAGGCUCCCUACAGCGGGCUGAAGGCAGCCUCCGGGCGAUACCUCAGCCGCUCGAUUCCUGUAAGUACACACUACACUACCACAACCAGCAUAGCAACUACACUACCACAACCAGCAUAG
rnacentral:lncRNA from 1 species